rnacentral:rRNA from 1 species
AAUAUUGCACAAUGGGGGAAACCCUGAUGCAGCCAUACCGCGUGUAUGAAGAAGGCCUUAGGGUUGUAAAGUACUUUCAGCGAGGAGGAAAGGUUGUAGGUUAAUAACCUGCAGCUGUGACGUUACUCGCAGAAGAAGCACCGGCUAACUCCGUGCCAGCAGCCGCGGUAAUACGGAGGGUGCAAGCGUUAAUCGGAAUUACUGGGCGUAAAGCGCAUGCAGGCGGUUUGUUAAGCGAGAUGUGAAAGCCCCGGGCUCAACCUGGGAACUGCAUUUCGAACUGGCAAACUAGAGUUCUUGAGAGGGUGGUAGAAUUUCAGGUGUAGCGGUGAAAUGCGUAGAGAUCUGAAGGAAUACCAGUGGCGAAGGCGGCCACCUGGCAAGUAACUGACGCUCAGAUGCGAAAGCGUGGGUAGCAAACGGGAUUAGAUACCCCGGUAGUCCACGCCGUA